rnacentral:rRNA from 1 species
AACGAACGCUGGCGGCAGGCUUAACACAUGCAAGUCGAACGCCCCGCAAGGGGAGUGGCAGACGGGUGAGUAACGCGUGGGAACAUACCCUUUUCUGCGGAAUAGCUCCGUGAGACUGGAAUUAAUACCGCAUACGCCCUACGGGGGAAAGAUUUAUCGGGGAAGGAUUGGCCCGCGUUGGAUUGGCUAGUUGGUGGGGUAAAGGCCUACCAAGGCGACGAUCCAUAGCUGGUCUGAGAGGAUGAUCAGCCACAUUGGGACUGAGACACGGCCCAAACUCCUACGGGAGGCAGCAGUGGGGAAUAUUGGACAAUGGGCGCAAGCCUGAUCCAGCCAUGCCGCGUGAGUGAUGAAGGCCUUAGGGUUGUAAAGCUCUUUCACCGAUGAAGAUAAUGACGGUAGUCGGAGAAGAAGCCCCGGCUAACUUCGUG